UACCAGGUUAUAGCCCAAUUCAACCUCUGUUCCCUUUGAGCCUUAUGUCUCCUACAGUACUCCCUCAGGCGGCCCCUUGGGGUGUUGAGGCAUAUGGGGGCAAUUACAGUUGCAUCACGGUUACAGGCCUAAACCAAACUAGUGGUCUGGCUGAUGUGUGGUGGAUCUGUGGACCCAAAAGAGUGCUGAGACCCAUCUUAGAGGAGACUGGCAAGGUACGUGUGCUCUGACCAGUUUGAUAAUUCCACUGACCAUUGUUGAUGUUACUGCUGAACAGCUGUUGGGUUCUGUACCCAGGGGACCUGAAAACAUUCCUUCCAUGGGAGACAUAGACGUAGUGCUCCAUGGACAGAGGAUGUAGUUGACAUACACACUAACCUGUUGGGAGUGCCAAUGGGGGUUCCUCAUGAGUUUCAGGUCUUGGGUAGGAAUGAUGGAUUAUAGGUCCAGCCAUAGUGGAUGCAAGGCAGACUGCAUGGAUUCAUUACAUCACUAUGAUCAACACGUUUUGUUAAUUACCCCGUGAUGCACUCACUAGUAUUUCUGAACAGUUUGAGGCCACAUCUAGGGUUGCCAGACAGAAUAGACUUGCUUUGGGUGCUUCUUGCAGUCAGGGGGCGUCUGCAAGAUGUUCGGUGAACAAUUGUGCACGUAACACCAGUCCAGAUGGUAGUAUUACUAAGGCCCUUAGUGGGCUUGAUGCACUUGAUGCAUUAUCUGCUGAGAUGAGGACCAUGGCGGGGUGGAGGAGUCGGGACUGUUCUCUUGGGUGGAGCCUGUUUUUGUAAGUACACUAGUACGGUGGUUACUGGAUUUCUGACCCUAAUUCUUGUAUUUUGUUAUUGAUGUGUUGUGAUGCUUGCAUCAUACCGUGUUUCAAGAAGUCUGUUACAGAUGUGGUGAAGGCUUCAGGCAUGAUGAUGCUUGCUUGAUGCCCAGUUGGAGAUGCUGAUACUGAAGCAUGCUUUCAGGGGAGGAUGAAGACGGACUGAGGAUGACCCAUGGUUUCGAGUCCCUGGGUGGCAUGAAGCCCAACUGGUGCAGGAUAGUAGUAGAUGAGGCCAGAUGGUUUUAUAAUAAUGCUUUGCUCUUCUCUCUGUUUUCCAUGACCAAAGUUUUAUCCUGUAUUUACAUGUCAAAACAAAGUUUUUCCUGUUUUUGCUAAGUGACAACCCUUGUGGGUGUCAAAAGGGGGACUUAAAUUCACACCAUUUUCUUUUGUUCUGUUUUGAAUGAGCUGUUCUCCUUUUGCAUGAAGGUAUUUUAAACUUGUGACUGUUAUGAUGUCAUUGCUGUUU
rnacentral:lncRNA from 1 species